GAUGAACGCUGGCGGUAUGCCUAACACAUGCAAGUCGUACGAGAGUUUUUAACUCUAGUGGCGGACGGGUGAGUAACACGUGAGAAUUUGCCUUUAGGAGGGGGACAACAAUUGGAAACGAAUGCUAAUACCCCAUAUGCUUUCGAGUGAAAUGGAUUUUAUCCGCCUAGAGAGAAGCUCGCGGCUGAUUAGCUUGUUGGUAAGGUAAGAGCUUACCAAGGCGACGAUCAGUAUCUGGUUUGAGAGGACGAUCAGACACACUGGAACUGAGACACGGUCCAGACUCCUACGGGAGGCAGCAGUGAGGAAUAUUGGUCAAUGGGCGGAGCCUGACCAGCCAAGUCGCGUGAAGGAGAGGAUCUAAUGGUUCGUAAAACUUCUUUUGUCAGGGGAUAAAGUGCAGGACGUGUCCUG
rnacentral:rRNA from 1 species